rnacentral:piRNA from 1 species
UCCUACAACUUAACAAAUGCUUGGCUCCUC